rnacentral:tRNA from 1 species
GGUUGCAGCAUCUGGUAGAUCAAUCAUUAAGCGUUAUGCUUAACACAUGCAAGUCGAAGUUUUCGGAGUUCGAAAGAGAAGCGGGGUAGAGGAAUGGUCAACUCAUCAGGCUCAUGAUCUGAAGAUUACAGGUUCAAAUCCUGUUCCCGCCUUAUGAUGCAAAACACAGCAUCAACCGGGGUAUCAACUAUCCCGGUAGAAACCCAGCCUACUGGCCGGGUUGGAUCAAAAUCGAUCAUAAUUUACUCAUGAUUAGAGCUUCUCUU